AAGGUGACCUGGAGAAAGCAGGAAAGGAAAAGGCGAGGAGGACACAAAGGGCAACUGUCAAAAUUUAGCUUUUUUUUUCCCCCCCACAGAUUACCUAGAAAAUAUUGAGACACAUUAAUUCACUCAUCAGAGGGCUGCCAAAGACCCAGGCUGAGCACGGCCGGCAGCGGCACCAGUGGCCUCACAUCCAGGGCUGCGGAGGCAGAGAUGGUCAGAACGAUCCUCGCUUAGAAGAAAUGCAGUGAAUGAAACUGAACGGACAAAAAUCUCUGUCCCCAGGCCCCGAGCCACUCCGCGGGAGUCCAUGAGUCUCCUGGAUUCUGCGGCUUGGCUGAGAUAUCAUCAUUUUUCUAAAUCAUGGAGUGUGGAUUGUGAAAUUGUCUGCAUAAAGGGCAAAAA